UUCGAGAUGAACUGCGCCCGACUGCGCCUCGCCUGUAAAGUGGACGAGAGCAGGUGGGAGCAGCCGGGGGCGGGGACAAAAAUCUGCUCUCAAGUCGGACACGUUUUCCAUCAGCCUUCAAAGCAUAUAAAGGAAGUCACAAACAUGUUAACAUCCUGUUUGAUCAUCUGUAGGCUACCUGUAGUUUGCAGAAAUGGUUGAGGAAAUCGCAUAUGCGUUUUUGAUGGCUGAGGAAAUUCAGUAUGAAGAGAUGCCCCUUCUUAUCCAUGAAGAUCGACUUCAACAGAGAAGGUGAUUUAACGCUAAAUAUUUCAAAGAACAGUGCACACAUGGCCACAGUUCAUUUAAGCUAACGUUAGUGGUUUAAUUUUUCUGAUCGCGUACAGUAGAAGCACUAUCAGUUUUGAUGAUGCUCCUAAAUGAUCAGAAUUAAAUAGAUGGUUAUCAUUUGUCAGCAACCAUAUUAAUUCAAUAACUGCUCCAGAAAGCACAAUGAGUUCUUAAUAACUCUGUAUAAAAUCAGCUUCAUUAUUCUUCUCCUAGGUUGGUUCCAAAGAUCCCACAUUUUGUUGAGGAAGUCGUACCAUUGUACAAUGUGACUGACUUUAAAAGUCAUUUCAGACUGUUGAGAGGACAAGUAGAGGUAAGUAGAGGUACAUUAUCUGAGGCAUUUUAGUAGGCUAUUAUCACUGAUAUUUGUAGCCUACGUCAAUGUGAUCAUUUUUUCUUCUUUGCUAUAGGAUGUAAUGACAAUGUUGGGGCCAUUCUAUACAAAGAGACAGCAUACCAAGUUGCCUGUAACCCACGCUGUUCUUGCCUGUCUGUGGACUCUAGCCAACCAGGAGUUGUAUAGGGGUGUUGCAGACAGAUUCAACAUUUCAAAAUCCACCAUGUCAACCCAUCUCCAUCACUUCUGUUCCCUGGUCAACACACAUCUGUCACAUCACAUUUCAUGGCCCACAGGGGAAACACUUCACACAUCGCCAUUACAUUUUCAAACAGCCGGCUUUCCAAAUACAGUCUGUGCUCUUGAUGGAUGUCACAUUCCCAUUGUCAAACCAUUUUGCAACAACCCCAUAGCCUAUUAUAACAGGAAACAGUUUUACUCCAUCAUUCUCACC